rnacentral:tRNA from 1 species
GGGGUGUAGCUCAGAGGUAGAGUGCAUGUUUAGUGUGCAUGAGGCCCUGGGUUCGAGUCCUAGCACCAUCA